rnacentral:rRNA from 1 species
GACGAACGCUGGCGGCGUGCUUAACACAUGCAAGUCGAACGGAAAGGCCCUGCUUUUGUGGGGUGCUCGAGUGGCGAACGGGUGAGUAACACGUGUGUAACCUGCCCUUGACUUUGGGAUAACUUCAGGAAACUGGGGCUAAUACCGGAUAGGAGAUCCUGCUGCAUGGUGGGGGUUGGAAAGAUUCGGCGGUUGGGGAUGGGCUCGCGGCUUAUCGGCUUGUUGGUGGGGUAGUGGGUUACCAAGGUUUUGAGGGGUAGCCGGCCUGAGAGGGUGAAAGGCCACAUUGGGACUGAGGUACGGCCCAGAUUCCUACGGGGGGCAGAAGGGGGGAAGAUUGCACAAGGGGCGGAGGCCUGAUGCAGCAACGCCGCGGGCGGGAUGACGGUCUUCGGGGUGAAAACCGCUUUCGCCUGUGACGAAGCGUGAGUGACGGUAAUGGGUAAAGAAGCACCGGCGAACUACGUGC